rnacentral:rRNA from 1 species
AGUGAACGCUGGCGGUAGGCCUAACACAUGCAAGUCGAACGGCAGCACAGUAAGAGCUUGCUCUUACGGGUGGCGAGUGGCGGACGGGUGAGGAAUACAUCGGAAUCUACUUUUUCGUGGGGGAUAACGUAGGGAAACUUACGCUAAUACCGCAUACGACCUACGGGUGAAAGCAGGGGAUCUUCGGACCUUGCGCGAUUGAAUGAGCCGAUGUCGGAUUAGCUAGUUGGCGGGGUAAAGGCCCACCAAGGCGACGAUCCGUAGCUGGUCUGAGAGGAUGGUCGGCCACACUGGAACUGAGACACGGCCCAGACUCCUACGGGAGGAAGCAGUGGGGAAUAUUGGACAAUGGGCGAAAGCCUGAUCCAGCCAUACCGCGUGGGUGAAGAAGGCCUUCGGGUUGUAAAGCCCUUUUGUUGGGAAAGAAAAGCAGCAGGUUAAUACCCCGCUGUUCUGACGGUACCCAAAGAAUAAGCACCGGCUAACUUCGUG